UGCCAGCAGCCGCGGUAAUACGGAGGGGGUUAGCGUUGUUCAGAAUUACUGGGCGCGUAGGCGGCUCGAUUAGUCAGGCGUGAAAGCCCGGGGCUCAACCCCGGAAGUGCAUUGGAAACUGGCGAACUUGAGUACGGGAGAGGAAAGCGGAAUUCCGAGUGUAGGGGUGAAAUCCGUAGAUAUUCGGAGGAACACCAGUGGCGAAGGCGGCUUUCUGGACCGAUACUGACGCUGAGACGCGAAAGCGUGGGGAGCAAACCGGAUUAGAUA
rnacentral:rRNA from 1 species